CUACAACCCAACCUUACACUCUUUCCACACUUUUCCCUAUUCAUUCUCUCUCUUCCGUUUUGGUUCUUCUAUCUCUUCCCCCCCUCAAACCCUAACACCUUCAUUCUUCUAUCUCUUUCCGCCUCAAAUCCUUUCACCAUCUUCUUCAAGCUUCUCUCUAUUCCUACUUCUUCAAUGCAGAACACACAAAAAGUUAUUUUUCCCUCAUAUGACAUUCGAUUUCCUCUUUCCAUAGAACAACCUAUUCAACAAAUCGCCGACUCAUUCCAGGACUAAAUCAGGAUGCUUGCUCUCAAAACAUAUGCCUCUUGCUGUUAGAAAUUCAACUAUACUCAGCAACAAAAUUGGGUUGAGCACUUGAGCUGUCACUUCCAUUUGGAGUAGGAUGGCCAUAGAUCUCAUUACAUGAUGUCGAACAAGCACCGACAUGACUUGGGUGAGGAGUAUACCAGUGUGACAACGAAAACGAACAGUUGAUUUAGAUGAUACUUUCUAUCCCCUAUGAUGUGGUAUUGCAAAAGAUGUGGCAAUAUAAUGUGUUUAUGCUUUGUUAAUUGAAAACUUAUACAACAACACUGUAUUUUUUCUACUCACUUUUUUCAAUGGGGAAUGCUCACAUCAUUAUUUCUAACCGUCCUUAAACAAUUUUUAUUAUUGGUUCAUUCUAGAGUGUUGAAUUUCUUAUUUCUCAAUAAAAAUGUUGAGUUUGAGUCACAAAUUUUUUGUUCCUUUUACAUAUUAAUGCUUAUCACAUGUUUUAUUGAAUAAUUUGUAUUAUACAAUUAUUCUGCAAU